AGUCAUAUGCUUGUCUCAAAGCUUAAGCCAUGCAAGUGUAAGUUCAUGCCACGCUUUAGAACGGGCGAAACCGCGAAUGGCUCAGGAACCGGACCUAAUCCUCGGGACCGUAAUCCUGGCGAUGGAUGACUGUGGCAAUUCUAGAGCUAAUACAUGUGACACGGGCCGCGAUUGGUCGUCGCGCCGUGGUCGCCUCGCCUCGCGCGCUGGCGGCCGUCUUGGGUCGCGGCGCUACAUAUUAGACUGAGAUCGAUGCGCAAUUCCCGCUCUCCCUUCGUUGUCUCCGGUUUCGGCCGGUCUGUGCGUCGGGGCCAAAGGGUGGCGCGUUCCGCUUUGGUGACUCUGGAUAACUCACUGGUCGAUCGCACGGUUACCACGCCCGGCGACGGGUCCCUCGAGGGUCCGCCCUAUCAACUGUCGACGGUCGGUUAAGUGCCUACCGUGGUUACUACGGGUAACGGGGAAUCGGGGUUCGAUUCCCGAGAAGGAGCAUGCGAAACGGCUACCACAUCCAAGGAAGGCAGCAGGCGCGCAAAUUACCCACUCCCGGCACGGAGAGGUAGUGACAAAUUACCCACUCCCGGCACGGAGAGGUAGUGACAAAAAAUAACGACGCCGGACUCUGUCGAGGCCCCGCGGUCGGAAUGAGUACACUUCAAAUCCAUUAACGAGGAACAACCGGAGGGCAAGUCUGGUGCCAGCAGCCGCGGUAAUCUCAGCUUCCGGUAGCGUAUAUUAAAGUUGUUGGGGUUAAAAAGCUCGUAGUCCGAACUCGGGUUCGUGGUCGAUCGCGCGGCCCCGGGGCGGCGGCGCCAUCGUCCAUCGUUGACUUUGGUCGUCCGUUCGCAUUCCCGGCCCUUUCCGCCGGUGUCGAUUGCUGCAUGACGGUCUCGUGUAGCAGCCUGGCGUGGGGAGCGUGGCGUUGGGCGUUUCUGGCGUCCUUCGUCCGGGUUUUCGGGUUCCUUCUCUGACUAGCCAUGCGCGCGUGUGCCGUCGGCGAUCUCUCCUCCAAGGGUGCUCUUAACCGAGUGUCCGCGGCGGCCGGUAAGUUCACUUUGAAAAAAUUAGAGUGCUCAGAGCGGGCUGUUCAAGCUUGCAUACGAUAAGCAUGGAAUGAUGGAAGAGGGACUCGUCUACGUCUGUCGGUCUCCGUCUACGGCGAGGCAAUGAUCGAAGGGAGCGGUCGGGACCACUCGUAUUGCGACGUUAGAGGUGAAAUUAUUGGAUCGUCGCAAGACGAACUGCAGCGAUGGCGUGUGGCAAGCACGUUUUCCUCGAUCAAGAGCGAAAGUCGGAGGUUCGAAGACGAUCAGAUACCGUCGUAGUUCCGACCGUAAACGAUGCCGACCGGCGAUCCGCCGGCGUUCGCUUCCAUGACCCGGCGUGUAGCCUGCGGGAAAACAGAGUUCGGUUCCAGGGGGAGUAUGGUUGCAAAGCUGAAACUUAAAGGAAUUGACGGGAGGGCACCACCAGGAGUGGAGCCUGCGGCUUAAUUUGACUCAACACGGGAAAACUCACCCGGUCCGGCUGUCCUUAACCGGCGGUCGCGCCUUCUGGUCCGGGUCGGUUUCUCACGCACUUCUUAGAGGGACGGGUGGCAGAAAGCCACACGAGGCGGAGCGAUAACAGUGAUGCCCUUAGAUGUCCGGGGCUACUACCGAUCGAACGGUCCGGUGAGGUCCUCGGAUCUGGUCGACGACGCUGUCGGGUUAAUCGGCUCAUCGCGGGUCGGUUGCCUCGGCGUUUGAUGCCUGGAGAAGACGACCGAACCCGAUCGNNUAGAUCGUUU
rnacentral:rRNA from 1 species